GGGRUCGCCUGUUUUUCAAAAACAUAGCUUAAAGCGAUGUAUUKUAMGUAAUUUCUGCCCGGUGAGUUUUUAACGGCCGCAGUACCCUGACUGUGCUAAGGUAGCAUAAUAAAUUGAUUUUUAAUUGAAGUCUAGAAUGAAUGGAGAAACGGAGAUAAUCUGUCUUAUAAAAAAAUUUUUUAAAUUACUUAUAAGGUGAAAAUGCCUUAAAAAAGAAAAUAGACGAGAAGACCCUAAGAAUUUUAAGAAAUAUAAUUAUUUAUUUUUAUUAAAUCUUUUUACUGGGGCGGUGAAGGAAUUAAAGUUAACAUCCUUAACAUCCUUAUGUUUUAUUAAGCUUUGCUGAAAUUAAAUAAAUUACCUUAGGGAUAACAGCAUAAUUUUGUAAAAAAGUUUGUGACCUCGAUGUUGGACUAGGAAAUUUUAAGACUAGMUGUCAUAAAGAAAAGUUCYGKUCGAACAUUUUUCUCCUACAUGAUCUGAKUYMARACCGKA
rnacentral:rRNA from 1 species